rnacentral:tRNA from 1 species
CGGCGAAUAAUGCGAUACAAAAUAGCGGGUGGAGCGCGCUGGCAUAUCUGGUGAAAAUCAGGGUGCAUCCGCAUCGUAGGUUCGACUCCUACUUCGCCGU